GCAUUAAUGGGGUAGUGGUAACCUGGGUCGUUGCCACAUUCGAGCAUUCGAGCCACACAACAUGAAACUCAACCUGCCGGGGGUUCGAUUCCCCCUUAAUGCA